rfam:Williamsia sp. Leaf354 contig_2, whole genome shotgun sequence.
CGUCCAUGAUCUGAGGCGCGAUGAAGUGGACGUGACAGUCGAUCCCGCCCGCGGUCACGAUCUUGCCGUUGCCCGCGAUGAUCUCGGUCGACGGGCCGAUCACGAGGUCGGGGUGCACACCGUCCAUGGUGUCGGGGUUGCCGGCCUUGCCCAGCGCGACGAUGCGACCGUCACGAAUACCCAGGUCCGCCUUGAUGAUCCCCCAGUGGUCGAGGACGACGACACCGGUGAUGACGGUGUCGGGGGCGCCCUCGGCGCGGGUGGCGCGGCCCUGACCCAUCGAUUCGCG